GCAGUUUGUAUUUGUAAUUUUCCAGGUUCAGAGUGGAUCCUGGCACAGGAUACACUACACUCACAUGCAGCCACACAAGCUGCAGAGGAAUUUGGCACAAAUAACCUCCUGCAGCACAUGGAACACAGCUCUGCUUGUCUGGUGUAGAAGGAUUUAUAAGUGCAUAUGAUGGGCUGCUGCUGUUCCAGGCAUCUCUCAAAUGGUCAGUGGGAUGAUGAGACAAACACCUGUUUGUUUGCAGUCUCUAUAAUCUGUACCACGCUUGCAGAUGGUGCCCUGCACAGUUCUGUGAGGUUGGAACAAUUCAGUGCCUGUAGCCAACUCUAAAAUGCCACCAAUGGAACAAUAUCAUGACUGGAGCUACCCAGUGUCCUUCAGAUCAACAAGUGGCUCUCCCAGGAGCAGCUGUGCAUUGUUAUCACUCUCACGCUAUUUAGCAGAAAGAAGAAAGGCCUAAAUAAGCUUACAAGUUUCUGAUGACCGUGAGUGGAGUGUCAAAAUCCUUUAACAAUCCAAAAAAAUUUCAAAUUAUUUUAUAACCGUGCAUCUAAAUUCUACAGGUUAUUCAGCUCUUGUUACACUGCCUGCUUUUCAUGCCAUGUUACUGUUUUCUUCUAACUCUGAAUGGCCCUGGGCAGGGGCCCCUUUUGUUGAGUCAGUCAUUUCCUAACUCACAAAAUUGGGAAACCCUGGGGGAUGGUCAGAGUUCAGGUGAGUUUUGGCAGAGGGCUUGUACGAACAGAUUAGGGCAUGAAAAAUCUGAUUUCAAUCAUUAUCUUUAGAAAAUAUUUCUAGUGGGACCUUAUAUGGUCCAAUAAUAAGUCUGGGUGGGAUCUGCAUCCUGCCAAGGUUAAUAAGGGUGUUUCUUUUGACUUUGGUGAACUUUAGCAUCCUCAUCCCUUAAGUGGGGCCAUUGCUGUCUUGUUUCUCUUCUCUUUCUAACAAACUGGCGAUGCCUAAUGUACAUUUAGGAAAAACAAAACACUUGUGGCUGUGGCAGCACACAAGUAAUGCUAUUAAUGCAGGAAGAGAAACCUUCUGAAGGUCAAGUUACCACACAUCCAAACUCCAGAAAGCAUUUGUCAUGCCCUGGGAAUUGAGCUGAAAUCUGACCCAUCUUGGAGAAGAAACCACCACAGAAAGAACACAUUAGGAUAUCUCUUACUGACAUUCCCUGUGGAGCUGAUUUCCUGGAAGCAGCAUUAGGUAUGGUGUGGGUAAUGGCGUUCUGGGAGGAGGUUUGUGCUUGAAAAGAAGCAGGGAAGAGCAGGAAAUGCAGCAGAGCUCACAGAGGGAGGGAGGGCAGCUCAGGGGAAAGCUGGACCCCUCUUCAGGUGUGUCCUCAUAAAUGUCAGCAUGUGGACCUCAUUCUGAAAAAUUUAAUGCCUCUGCUUUACAUUGUAAUCUACAAAUAAUAUCAGCUCCAUGAAGACUUUAAAAUAGGAAGGAAGAGGAUGAGUAAUCCUGAUGUUGCUCCCAUAUUAGAGCACCUUGUACUGCUAACUCCACGUAAGUAAAAAAUGAGAACAUUUGACUGUUUCAUAGAGCAAAGCAUGUUUGAUAGUGCCAUAUCAUAAAACCCUUAUCUUUUGGACAGCUGAGCAUGGUAGUUGUAAAAGUGCCUGAUUUAUGCUAGGAAUUCUCUGUGUUCAUAACUUGUAAUUGCUUUUAUUACUUGUAACUCAAGGCAGGUGUGCAUAGAAAGAAAUCAGCAAUUUCUCCUCUGGCCACAUGAUUUCAUGUAACCCAGCCAAGCCCCUCUGCACACAGAAAGAAAGCAAAGCCCCAGGAUGAAAGCUCUGCCUGGGAUUACCUGGAAUUAAAUGGUGAACACAAAAAGGGGAUUAAUAAGAAAAUAGCUGAGGGCUAGCACAGGUCUUGUCCCCUGAAUGGAGUCUAAGACACAGCCUUAUACCCUGGUGGGUCUGUUCUGUGCCUCUUUAGCCAUUUCUGUUGUAAUGGUUUGUGCUAAUGUGGGCUGGAACAAAUGUAAUGGAUGUAGGGGGUAGGGGAAAAAGCCCCUUCUGUUCUAAUGUUCAGUUUAAAGUGAUUUUCAGACAAAAAGAAAGCUGAAUAUAUAGUGCACAAUACAGUUCUAGCUAAGGUAAGGAGCUGGCUUGGAAGAGAAGGUGGCUGAGACUGAAAGCAAACACAGCACAAGAGAAAUGUGAAGGGCUGUCUUAUAAACUGUGUAUUUCUCCUGCUCUGUCACUUUAUUCAUAAUUCUCUGUCUUUAAGGUAAAUAUACAUACAGCAUGGAUUUUUUUUCCAUUUUUCUUUUGCCAUUUGUAUACUUUAUUCAAACCAUUUCUUUUCAACAGUGUUUUGCCUUUCUUUCCAUGGCAACAAAGAGCCAAGGCUCCUUUGCUAAAGCAAUGCAGUCCUUCACACAACACCCUCCCUGUGCUGAGGUGGGGACAAACCCACACCUGGGGUUAGGACUGCUGACAUCCCUGACCAAUAUUGAUGAUAAUGAGGCAGUUCCUAGCAAGGCAUUAUUAAUAGGAUGGUGUCACCCACAGCAAGUGAUGCUCUUAAGUUUUAUUACACUAAGUCAACCUUAAAAUUUUCAAAUCGUUUACAGCUUUAUCACACUUUUUCAGGAGCUGUUAUUGCUCAGCCAUUCUUCCUUUUCAUCCUCUCACCUUCUCAGAUGAGAAAAGAUCUUUGAUGCUUCCAUUUUCUCACUCUGUGAAUGGAUCAAAGAGCCCAAAAUGCACUGGGCUUUGAAACAGGAGAGCCCAGGAAGAGAGAGAUUACACUCAGAUAGAACACACUGGUCUGGUUCUCUAGUUGAUAUUUGUGAGCAUGAAAGCGUUAGGGACAAGUAACAAGGGCAUUUUUAGAUAAAAUAAUAAAAGUAAUAAUAAAAAAGUUAAUUUUGUACUAAAUACCACUGUAAUAUUAUAUCUUGCAGUGAAUUUCUAACUAUUGUGAAGUGCUAAUCAGUUUUCUUUCCUGCAAAAGGAUCCAUAGUCUAAGGAGAGUCUUGAGUGGCAGCCUAGGUAUGAGAAAUGUUAUUUGAAUUAGGCAUUCUUAUCCAUGUUUAUAGUACUUUCCAGAGGCUCUCUCUCACUUUUAGGCCUUCUUCACAAAAGCACAUGCAAUAUAAAUGUUACUGCUGCCAGCUUGUAUGCCUGAAAGGUCAAUUCUUCUUUUUGUUCUAACUUUAUCAGUUUCUUUAAUAAAAGAUAUUAACUCUCUUCACAAGCCUGUCUCACAGAGAGAAGAAAAAUAUCCCCAGCUCCAAAGAAAAUAUCACUUCUAUUUAAUGAUUAAAACAAAUCAGUGUGAGAGAAGACAUAAGGCAGCUACUAGAAAAUUCUGGUUCAGCAUUUAUAUUCCACCCCCUCUGGCUGGGAAUAUGAGAGAAGUUAUCCCUGUGUGACAGGGAAGAGCCAAGCCUGUGCAGGCUUCAUCAGCACAGUGUGCUCUGCAUGGUCACUGCUUGAUUAUUCAAAGGUGUUUGUGGAAAAUAAGUCUGAAGUUCAGCUUUGGGGGCUGAUCAUUCUUUCUGCACCAUUUAAGCACAUCAUCUCAUUUCUAAGUGGUGCUGAUUACAACAAUUCACGGGCAAGCACAGUCAUUUUGUGAAUGGAAGGGUGAGAGAAGUGUGACCCUGUCACAAAGCAAAGCCCACGCUGCAGUGAGCGCUGCUAACAGGGACUAAAGGCUUGGGGGGAGCCUGGUUCCAUGCGUGAUUAAAUGCAGCUCGUUGGUAUAAUGCCUUCACAUUUAAACAGCUUAAUUUUUAAAUCACCAGAUAAUUGUGUAAUUGUGGUAUUUCUGUUGCCUGUGAUGAAUCAGGGUCUCCUGUCUAAUGGU